GUAGGGAAUAUUAGGCAAUGGAUGCAAGUCUGACCCAGCCAUCCCGCGUGCCGGAAGAAGGCCCUCAGGGUUGUAAACGGCUUUUGACGGUGAAGAAUCGACAGGAUGCGUCCUGUUUUGACGGUAGCCGUUGAAUAAGCACCGGCUAACUCCGUGCCAGCAGCCGCGGUAAUACGGAGGGUGCGAGCGUUGUCCGGAUUUAUUGGGUUUAAAGGGUGCGUAGGCUGGAAGGUCAGUCAGCGGUGAAAAGCUGUCGCUUAACGAUAGUCUUGCCGCAGAUACUUCCUUUCUUGGAUGAGGAGGAGGCCACUGGAACGGAUGGUGUAGCGGUGAAAUGCAUAGAUAUCAUCCAGAACACCGAUUGCGAAGGCAGGUGGCUGUACCUUAAUCGACGCUGAUGCACGAAAGCAUGGGGAGCAAACAGGAUUAGAUACCCGGGUAGUCC
rnacentral:rRNA from 1 species